CAAGUACUCCCUCCGUCCAGAAUUACUUAUCAUCAAAAUGGAUGUGUCUAGAACUAAAAUACAUCUAGAUACAUCCAUUUCAAUGACAAGUAUUUUCGGAUGGAGGGAGUACAAG
rnacentral:pre_miRNA from 1 species